rnacentral:rRNA from 1 species
AUUGAACGCUGGCGGCAGGCCUAACACAUGCAAGUCGAGCGGAUGAAGGGAGCUUGCUACUGGAUUCAGCGGCGGACGGGUGAGUAAUGCCUAGGAAUCUGCCUGGUAGUGGGGGAUAACGUCCGGAAACGGGCGCUAAUACCGAAUACGUCUUGAGGGAGAAAGUGGGGGAUCUUCGGACCUCAGGCUAUCAGAUGAGCCUAGGUCGGAUUAGCUAGUUGGUGGGGUAAAGGCCUACCAAGGCGACGAUCCGUAACUGGUCUGAGAGGAUGAUCAGUCACACGGGAACUGAGACACGGACCAGACUCCUACGGGAGGCAGCAGUGGGGAAUAUUGGACAAUGGGCGAAAUCCUGAUCCAGCCAUGCCGCGUGUGUGAAGAAGGUCUUCGGAGUGUAAAGCACUUUAUGUUGGGGGGAAGGGCAGUAAGUUAAUACCUUGCUGUUGUGACGUUACCAACAGAAUAAGCACCGGCUAACUUCGUG